GCGGGUGUCUCAGAUUGCCAGCACCAUGUGAUGGGAGCUCCAGGGCAUGCUGCGUGCUCGCCAGGAGGGGCUGGGCAAGAUGGCGUAGUCGCUGGAGCAGCUGCGGGCGCGGCACCGUCGCUCUCACCCUGGCGGAGUGCAGCAACACAGUGGAGCGGCACCAGCGGGACACUCUGGACAACGCAGCCAAGGCUGUUGCCCCGCUCGCCCGACUCGUUGAGAGGCUUGCCCACCCCCCAGGGCGUUGUCGUGAAGAUACCGCUGGGAGGAAGAAUAUCUCACAAUACUGGAAGAGGUGCACUGAGUUUUCCCUCUGCAUUGAGAAUAAACUUGCAUUCAGAGGAUUUGGCUGCAAUGCAUGUGUAAGUGGUAAGUCACUUUGUUUACCUGUAAUUUGUAACAAGGUCGCUUUUGAAAAAGAUCUAUAUAGCUCUGUGGGCCUUAGCUGGUACAAUGAGAAAUAGUUCAGUUUUCGUUUAUUGGGUGGGUGAGUGGUUGAUGGGUGAUUGAUUGAGUGGGUGGUUGGGUUGGUGGGUGAGUGUGUGAGUUAGAGAGUGGGUGGGUGGAUGGGUGGGUGUGUGAGUGGGGGAGUGAAUAGGUGAGUGGGUGGGUGAGUGGAGUCUAGAGUGAGUGAGUGAGUGGGUUGGUAGGUGGGUCGUUGAGUUAAU